GAUGAACGCUGGCGGCGUGCCUAAUACAUGCAAGUCGAGCGAACAGACGAGGAGCUUGCUCCUUUGACGUUAGCGGCGGACGGGUGAGUAACACGUAGGUAACCUACCUAUAAGACUGGGAUAACUUCGGGAAACCGGAGCUAAUACCGGAUAAUAUUUCGAACCGCAUGGUUCGAUAGUGAAAGAUGGCUUUGCUAUCACUUAUAGAUGGACCUGCGCCGUAUUAGCUAGUUGGUAAGGUAACGGCUUACCAAGGCAACGAUACGUAGCCGACCUGAGAGGGUGAUCGGCCCCACUGGAACUGAGACCCGGUCCAGACUCCUACGGGAGGCAGCAGUAGGGAAUCUUCCGCAAUGGGCGAAAGCCUGACGGAGCAACGCCGCGUGAGUGAUGAAGGUCUUCGGAUCGUAAAACUCUGUUAUUAGGGAAGAACAAACGUGUAAGUAACUGUGCACGUCUUGACGGUACCUAAUCAGAAAGCCACGGCUAACUACGUG
rnacentral:rRNA from 1 species